rnacentral:lncRNA from 1 species
GCUCUUGGCUGGAAGUUUGGGCAAUUUUCAAAGCUUCGUAACUUAAUCGUUUCUUAACCAAAUUUGACCCAUAAUUUAUCAAAACGAAGAUAGAAAAGUGUAGAAUAAGAUUGUAUCUAUUUCGAAGCCCAAUGGUUGCCGGAGAUUGCCGGAAAUAGCCUCAAAGUUGAAUGGUCCGAGUGAAAACUUGAAAACUCGCCUGAAACUGGGUAAACUUUAAACGUUCAUAACUUCUUCAAUAGUCAACGAAAUCAAGUGAUU